UGUUGCCGUCUCUUCCGUUUCACCUUACCAGAAACAAAACGUUUCCAUUAGCGUUUAUGGUAUAAAGCUUAAUACAAACAACGACGCUCUUUUCACCACCUUAUUCCAUCUGCGCCACCGCCCUGCAGUCUCUGAUCUAGCCGCAAAUGUCAAGCCUACCAUCGCUCUCUCUCUCAGGCUUCGAGCCCUUUCAGUAUUAAAGCCAGAGACUCUCACUUCCAUUCUAGACCCUCUCAGUCAGAGCCUCGAUAGGUUCUCUCUUGCCGGAUUCGCGGUUCAAGAUUACGCUGAUUCGUAUGAGAGUAACGAAUGGUAGCAGCAACGGACGUGAUGGGUUAUCAGUAUCUGAGCUUCUGAUGUCUCCGGAGAUUUUCAAAGCUGUGAAUAAUGGAGGAAUUCAGAAACUCUUUCCUAUUCAUUUGUGCUUGAGCCAGGAUGCAAGGUGUGCUAGGAAAUGAACUAGAAAGAUUCUUGCUUUUGGAAUUCCCAUCAUUGACAGAAUCAUAAAAUUCAACUCUAAACACAGUCUCUCUCUGUGUAUGCGAAACUAUAAUGAAGUCUACAAGGCACAGUGAGACACAUGAUUCACUCUCCUCUGUGCCAAACUAUAUCCAGAUGUUCUAGAACUAUUCAGUUCCAUGAAACUAUGAAGAAGUCUACAAGGCACAGUUGAUUUGCUGUAGAGAAGCCUUUGACUACUUUGUAGCUCCACUCCUUUCCAGUAACAAGUAGUGUUUCGUCUGUGCAAACGGGCUCACGUUGAUUGCAUUAUUGGAUAUAUGUAAACAUGAGCUGAAGUUAAGGCAGGGAAGCCACUUAAAGUUAAACCUGAUGAAGACUGUCUCAUCCACCUUUCACAGGCAUGUAUUGGUAAUAGGAAGAAGGGUGAAACUGUUCUCAUGUAUGUGACUGUUAAUGGGAAGAAGCUUGUGAUUAGAACUCUUUCUCAGGAGGAGAAGAUUCCUUAGGUCAGCUUCGAUCUGGUCUUUGAGAAGAAGUUUGAACUCUCCCACUCCUUGGUGAGAGGAAGUAUCUACUUCAUUGGCUACAAAACGCCCGACCUCGAUGAAUAGGUGGAUUCCUCUUCUUCUGAGGAUUACUCUUCUUCUGACUCAGAAGAAGAGGAGGAAGUGGAGGUCCCUUCAACUGCACUGCCAAUGUAAGUGCUGGAGCUGCUGCUUCGAGUGUUGUCAAGUCUGACUCAAAGCCAAAGGUAAAAUGAGAAAGUAGUGAGCUUUGCAUUUCGUAACGAUCAACGUUGAAUGCCGCCUCUGUAAUGUAUAAAGCUAUCAUUCAAUCAGCCUAAUUAAGAAUCUGAAAAUGCUUCUAGGAUUUAAUAUCUCUUUGAGAGACGGCUUAGCUUUUUAAGAUUUUGGUAUAAGAAAGAACAAAUAAGCAAAGAUUUUUUUGUUAAUUGUGAUUUCAGCCCAUGGCUCGGUCAAAGUGUACCGGUUUAUGUUUGUUGUAA